UACGGGGGAUGCAAGCGUUAUCCGGAUUUAUUGGGUUUAAAGGGUGCGUAGGCGGUCUGUCAAGUCGGCGGUGAAAACGCCAUGCUAAACAUGGUGCUUGCCGUCGAGACUGAUGGGCUUGAAUGUGGGUGAUGCCGGAGGAAUGUGUAAAGUAGCGGUGAAAUGCAUAGAUAUUACACAGAAGGUCGAUUGCGAAAGCAUCUGGCAAAGGCACGAUUGACGCUGAGGCACGAAAGUGCGGGGAUCGAACAGGAUUAGAUACCCUGGUAGUCCGCACAGUAAACGAUGAUAACUAACUGUCGGCGAUACACAGUCGGUGGUACAGAGAAAUCGUUAAGUUAUCCACCUGGGGAGUACGACCGCAAGGUUGAA
rnacentral:rRNA from 1 species